rnacentral:rRNA from 1 species
AGAGUUUGAUCAUGGCUCAGGAUGAACGCUAGCUACAGGCUUAACACAUGCAAGUCGAGGGGCAGCAUUUUAGUUUGCUUGCAAACUAAAGAUGGCGACCGGCGCACGGGUGAGUAACACGUAUCCAACCUACCGAUAACUCUGGAAUAGCCUUUCGAAAGAAAGAUUAAUACCGGAUAGUAUACGAAUAUCGCAUGAUAUUUUAUUAAAGAAUUUCGGUUAUCGAUGGGGAUGCGUUCCAUUAGUUUGUUGGCGGGGUAACGGCCCACCAAGACUACGAUGGAUAGGGGUUCUGAGAGGAAGGUCCCCCACAUUGGAACUGAGACACGGUCCAAACUCCUACGGAGGCA